UUUUUUUUUUUUUUUUAACAAAAAUGUGAAGUAAAACAUUUUUGUUUUAAGUUUUAUUUUCCAAUUGAAUCCAAUUUAAUACUGUCCUCAAGAAAAGUGAAAAAGAAUCCUCAAAAUCGUGAAACUUUACAGGGCUUUUAUAAUCCUGAAAUUUAGGAUUAAUCAGAAUCUAUUCAUAAUAUUGUACAUGUAUAGUUUAUCAAGUGAAUCUCUUGUUUUGAAUACAAAGUUAGUUGUUUUAUCAAAGUUAAUGAAAAUCAGGGAGACCCUACUUGAGGGAGAUAUGUAAAUACUUUUAAACUGUACUCUUUUGAGGAUGGGACUUUGAUGGUCUCCAGGAGGGAGAUAUGUGAAUGAUUUUUAAACAGGGCUCUUUGUGGAUUGGACUUUGAGGGCCUCCAGGAGGGAGAUAUGUAAAUGAUCUUUCAACAGGACUUUUUGGGGAGGGGACUUUGAUGGUCUCCAGGAGGGAGAUGCAUAUCUGAUAUGAUUUUACAUGACGCAAGAAGUCAGGUUGGUGCUUAUGUAUAUAUGGUUGUGGAUUGUAAGCUACAAGCUUGUGAUGUAUUUAUUCAUUCAGAGCCUAACUGUACAUGUUCAUCCUUUAUAUUACUAAUGAUAGCAUACAUCUUAAUUAUUGUAAUAUCUGUUAUGCCCAUUUUUCUGGACUAAUCACAUCUUUCCUAAGGUUAUUGAUCAUCAACAGAUGUGUAUGGUACAGAUAUUUAGGCUUGUUUCCCGGGUUAUAAAAUUCUGAUAUUUUCUGUCUGCCUUUCUGUUGAAGUUGUUGCCCUUAAAAGCUUCGUCAUUUCGCUGUUUUUUGGGGUAAUCAUUUGAAACACAGAAUAAAAGUAACAAAUCUUGAUUGAGGCUGGCUUAAUGGAGUAUUCAUCAUUCAACGAUUGAUGGGUGCAGCUGUGCUGUAUGAAAACUAAAUGGCUGAUUGAUGUUUGAAAAUUUCUGCGCAAAUCACGGCUGAUGUAUGUACAUGUAUUUACUUAAUGAAAUAUCAUAAUAAUGAAAACAAACAUACAAUUUCUGGUCUAUUGCAUCAUAUUGGGCAGAAAUAUUUUAACCUGUAUAUAUGAAUUAUGUCUCUCCUGUGGUCAAGAACGCCGGCCACGCAGCCUCAGGUGAAGGUCCGAUGUGUGGUGUUGGUCACUCCCUACCCGAGGCAGUUGGUAUUUCUCAGGAAGUUGAGAAAUGGACCCGUUUCACCAUCUGAUAGCAUGAAAGGGGCCUCUCGUGUGUUGUUGGUGUGGUAGUCACCAACUGCUACAAGAAAACCCUGCUUCAAAAUUACUCUCGACUGUUCAUGGGGCAAUAUACCCAGUUACCAAACAAACAUUUUUUUUUUUUAAUUCUUUCAUAUAAAUGUAAUCAUCUGUUUUUAUAAAGCCACUGCUGGACAGAUGGACAUUUCAAUGUUUCUUUUGUAUCAUCAAAACUGUCAUGGAGAGAUACAACAUUUCUCUACAUUAGAGUUUAUAACACCACAGAUUUUGAUCACUGGUAUUGUAAUCUAUAAGUCCAUGGUUAAAAUACCAUACAGGUACUUAGAUUUUGAAUUUGCUAUGACAUAUCAAAUAUCAUAAUGAAAACAUGUUUUACAAAAUAUCCUGCCUGCUUUAUUGAACAUAACUGCAUUUACAAUCAUGCCUUAUACUGCACAUUACCGUCUCUUACCAAAGAUUAUCUCAAAUUACUCAUCUUGUCACUUUUUUGUCAAGGCCUGCGAAAAUUCAAACUUUUUUAUAGACUUGUUUCAUAAAAUCUCAAAUUAAAUUAAACCCAUUUAAGAUCCUAUUUACCAAUAUAUAUUUAUGGCCAGACAUCUCAUCAUGGAUCAAAUAAUCAUCACUCAAUGUUAAUCUUCUGUCUUUGAUGUCAUCAUUUCAUGAAUUUGUUUAAAAAGAUAUAUACAUGUAUUCAUAUGACAUCAUCAACAUUUUAUGAAUUUGAAAUAUAUUCCUGUUUGUAUUUCCUUAAGAUACGUUUGUCAUAUCAUUUAUAGUCCAGAUAGUCUAUUGUUUGGCUUUUCUACUGUGAUGAAGUGCAGAUGUUAAUGUAUAGUGUUGUACAUAAUGUCAGAUUUGUGAUCGUUAAGGUCAGAUUUGGGAUCGUUAAGGUCAGAUUUGUGAUCGUUAAGGUCAGAUUUGGGAUCGUUAAGGUCAGAUUUGUGAUCGUUAAGGUCAGAUUUGUGAUCGUUAAGGUCAGAUUUGUGAUCGUUAAGGUCAGAUUUGUGAUCGUUAAGGUCGUGUUUGUGAUUGCCAAGGUAAGAUUUGUGAUGAAGUCCAAUUGUGAUUUGUCAUUUAAACCUAAAUUACUGUAUUAAAAAAAAUGUGCAUGUAGGCUAUGAUUUAAGGCUGUAGGCUAGGAUUUAAGUUAAAAUUUAUUUUGUUGUUGAAGAUUUUAAACUAUUUUUUUGAAGGAAUAUCAAAAAUUGUAAUGAACUGAAUAACAUACUAUUCAUGCCAUACACGAAUUUGUUAUAUGUACUCUUUUAUAGAAUUAGUUGUAAAAUUUUAAAUUUUGUUUUUUGUUUUUUUUUUUACAUUCACUCUCACUAACAAUUCUGCAUUUUCUAUCAAAAUUGUACUUUCAUGAGACAUAACUGUUUUUGUGGACUAGGGUCAUUAUACACCAAGGCUAUCUGCACGUUGUGUGAUCAAAGGACAAAAAUAUGUGCAAAAUAGCACUUUUAACACACAGUUAAAUCACAAGUCAUUUCGUAGUUUCUCUUUUCAUUUUUUUUUUUUUUUUCAAAAUUUCUUUUUAUAUAUCCACAUCACAAUAAUAUAAGUGGAUGAGUGCAUUGUUACAUUCUCAUCAAUAUGAUGAUUUGAAAUACAAAGAAAUGUCUGAAAAAAAAGUGCUGUCAUAAUUUGGUAUUAAGAAAAAAGGAAAAAUCAUGACAAGAUAAAAUUCAUACUGAACAUAUCAGUCGAUGAAUUUCUACAAUUGAGUGUUUAAAUAAUUAAAACUAACAAAAUGUUUUCAUCCAGAUCAUUGUACCCAUUGAAUCAAUAUAAUUAAUUAAGUUACUGUAUCUUUUUAAGUACAAGACAAAGAAUACUUGGACAGAGAUACAUGUAACAUAGUUUAUCCUGCAAUAAGCACUGGGGUUAACACAUACCUGUAGCCUCUGGCUCAAAGUCGGGUUUUUGGGGGGGGGGGGGUUCUUACCACAAAGGCAAAAUGUCUUCAUGUCAAUUCAGUUCAAAUUCAGGUCAGUUUCAUGUGAAAUGUUCAGGUCAAAUUGACCUGAAAAGAGCAAAAUAUUCAAUCAUGUCAAGAACUUGACUUGGAUUUGCCAUUAAAAAAUAUUCAGGUCAAUUUCUCUUGACAUAAAUUUGACAUAAAUUUUGUUCUUUGUGAAAUUCAGAAAGAAAUCAGGUCAAUAUUUUUUUCAGGAUAAGUUUAUCUCAGGACGUUUUGCCUGUGUACAAGAUGAUGAAAUCCCAAUUGUGGGUAAAACUAAAACAAUAGAUAAUAUAAGGGUGGACUUAUUACUGAGCGAGGGCUUAUUUCAGGAUAAAUAGAUAUAUAACCCUAGUUUUUAAAUGCAAUAUUUUGUUACACAGGAUCCUCUAUUGAGAUUAAGGGGAGAGCUUUCUGUUAUAUUGAUAACAAUUUUUACAUGCUGUUUAUGAAUAAAGAUUUUAUUUGGAAAAAAA